rnacentral:lncRNA from 1 species
CAAGGCUGAGAGUUUACUGCUCAAGGUCAUACGGCUGUUAAGCAGUGCAUUCGAGUGUGUCUGGUGAUGAACCAUAACCACAAAUUUAUUUUAUUCUCUCAGCCUGCCAGUAUCCAUGAGCUGCACCUCUAAGUCACCAGGCCCACAGCCUGAGACCCCCGCCAGGCCCUGGCACAGCAUCAGAAGAUGACAGCAACCCCAAGACAGCUGGAUGCCUGGGCAGUGCAGAGUACUGAGGAUUGAACCUAGGAGUACUGAGCUACAUCUCUAGUCUUACCCCUCACACUUAAAAAAAUUUUGAGACAGGGUAUUGCCCAGGUAAGCCUUUGAGAUUCUCCUGCCUCAACCUUCAAACAACUGUGAUUACAGUAAUGUGCCACACGGCCUAAUCCUGAUUUCUUCAUACACAGCGAAGGUUAAGAGCAAGGAGUUGAGGUCAGAGGCACCUUGGUUUUAGACUUCGUCUCCCUACCUUUUUACUCAGUGAUCUGAGGAUGCUUUCCAAACCUCUUUAAACUGCAGUUUCCUCUUCUGGCUUCUGGCAGAGAUAAUAACCCCAACCUUCCAGCAGGACUGAGCCCGAGGCCCCAGGAAUUUAGCGAGGCUGGCCACACUCUCUCUGGCAGCUUUAAGCCUAAAUAACCUGAGCGCAGCAGGUGGAAAGGAGUUAAGAAGGCCCCGCCCCCAGGCUGCCCCAGCCUUUCACAUGCUGAUGCCAGGCAAGCCAGGAGGAGCUCAAAGGCGGGGAGAUGGCAGCCCCCAACCCCCAAAGUUGCUUCCCGAGGUGCCCACCAGCAGAGCCCCCUCUCUUUUCUACCUCAAUCUCCCCUAGGCUCCAGCCUCCUUUCCCACCCCGCUGACAGAUUCCUCACACCUGGCAGGAUCACAGCCUGUCCUCCCGCCUACUCUCUCCCUGCUUGCCUUGCUCCUGAGGGCUCCUCUCUGCUCCCCAACACUCCAGCCAAACCAGGCCCUGGAUACCCGGUUCCCCACUUCCUUUUCUGUCUGCAGUGUACCAAGUUACCCACUUUCAGGGUCCAGCCCCAGGGCAGUGGCCUCCAAGGGCCUCUCCUUCCCCUUGGACACAGUGCUGUGCUUCUCUGAGCAGCUUAUCACUCACCAGGUCCGAGUCUUUGGUAGGCAGCAGGUGUCACAUAAAUACCUGGAGUUGGAAAGAGUAAGUCUAAUCCAACUCCCUCAGUCCCACCCUCCGUGUUUUGGUACUGGGGAUUGAACCCAGGGCCACUGCACAGAGCUACAUCCCCACUCUCCCCGCUUUUUGGAGACAGGGCUAAAUCACCAAGCUGGUCAGGCCGGGACUGAAUUUUCCACUCUCCCGCUCAGCCUCCUAGAGGGCUGGUUUUAUAUACCUUUGUCGUCUGAGACAGGCUGGACC